GUAGGGAAUCUUCGGCAAUGGACGAAAGUCUGACCGAGCAACGCCGCGUGAGUGAAGAAGGUUUUCGGAUCGUAAAACUCUGUUGGUAGAGAAGAACGUUGGUGAGAGUGGAAAGCUCAUCAAGUGACGGUAACUAACCAGAAAGGGACGGCUAACUACGUGCCAGCAGCCGCGGUAAUACGUAGGUCCCGAGCGUUGUCCGGAUUUAUUGGACGUAAAGCGAGCGCAGGUGGUUUAUUAAGUCUGGUGUAAAAGGCAGUGGCUCAACCAUUGUAUGCAUUGGAAACUGGUAGACUUGAGUGCAGGAGAGGAGAGUGGAAUUCCAUGUGUAGCGGUGAAAUGCGUAGAUAUAUGGAGGAACACCGGUGGCGAAAGCGGCUCUCUGGCCUGUAACUGACACUGAGGCUCGAAAGCGUGGGGAGCAAACAGGAUUAGAAACCCUGGUAGUCC
rnacentral:rRNA from 1 species